rnacentral:rRNA from 1 species
GACGAACGCUGGCGGCGUGCCUAAUACAUGCAAGUAGAACGCUGAAGGAGGAGCUUGCUCUUCUGGAUGAGUUGCGAACGGGUGAGUAACGCGUAGGUAACCUGCCUGGUAGCGGGGGAUAACUAUUGGAAACGAUAGCUAAUACCGCAUAACAUUGACUAUUGCAUGAUAGUCAAUUGAAAGGUGCAAAUGCACCACUAUCAGAUGGACCUGCGUUGUAUUAGCUAGUUGGUGGGGUAACGGCUCACCAAGGCGACGAUACAUAGCCGACCUAAGAGGGUGAUCGGCCACACUGGGACUGAGACACGGCCCAGACUCCUACGGGAGGCAGCAGUAGGGAAUCUUCGGCAAUGGACGGAAGUCUGACCGAGCAACGCCGCGUGAGUGAAGAAGGUUUUCGGAUCGUAAAGCUCUGUUGUAAGAGAAGAACGAGUGUGAAAGUGGAAAGUUCACACUGUGACG